UGGGGAAUAUUGGACAAUGGGCGAAAGCCUGAUCCAGCCAUGCCGCGUGUGUGAAGAAGGUCUUCGGAUUGUAAAGCACUUUAAGUUGGGAGGAAGGGCAGUAAGCGAAUACCUUGCUGUUUUGACGUUACCGACAGAAUAAGCACCGGCUAACUCUGUGCCAGCAGCCGCGGUAAUACAGAGGGUGCAAGCGUUAAUCGGAAUUACUGGGCGUAAAGCGCGCGUAGGUGGUUCGUUAAGUUGAAUGUGAAAGCCCCGGGCUCAACCUGGGAACUGCAUCCAAAACUGGCGAGCUAGAGUAGAGCAGAGGGUGGUGGAAUUUCCUGUGUAGCGGUGAAAUGCGUAGAGAUAGGAAGGAACACCAGUGGCGAAGGCGACCACCUGGGCUCAUACUGACACUGAGGUGCGAAAGCGUGGGGAGCAAACAGG
rnacentral:rRNA from 1 species